GAUGAACGCUAGCUACAGGCUUAACACAUGCAAGUCGAGGGGUAACGAGAGGGAAGCUUGCUUUCCUUGUCGACGACCGGCGCACGGGUGAGUAACGCGUAUCCAACCUGCCCCCAACUAGGGAAUAACCUUGCGAAAGUAAGACUAAUACCCUAUAAUUUCCUCAGAUGUCAUCUGACGAGGAAUAAAGAUUUAUCGGUUGUGGAUGGGGAUGCGUCUGAUUAGCUUGUUGGCGGGUUAACGGCCCACCAAGGCAACGAUCAGUAGGGGUUCCGGGAGGAAGGUCCACCACAUUGGAACUGAGACACGGUCCAAACUCCUACGGGAGGCAGCAGUGAGGAAUAUUGGUCAAUGGGCGGAAGCCUGAACCAGCCAAGUAGCGUGCAGGAUGACGGCCCUAUGGGUUGUAAACUGCUUUUAUACAGGAAUAAAGUUAGCCACGUGUGGUUAUUUGUAGGUACUGUAUGAAUAAGGACCGGCUAAUUCCGUGCCAGCCGCCGCGGUAA
rnacentral:rRNA from 1 species